rnacentral:rRNA from 1 species
CGAAGCGACGUCAAAGCGUUCAUUAAAGUCGAGUUGGCUUAGGGAUACGUUCGUUGGGUAGGGGAGCGUUCUGUAAGCCUGUGAAGGUGGCCUGUGAGGGUUGCUGGAGGUAUCAGAAGUGCGAAUGCUGACAUAAGUAACGAUAAAGCGGGUGAAAAGCCCGCUCGCCGGAAGACCAAGGGUUCCUGUCCAACGUUAAUCGGGGCAGGGUGAGUCGACCCCUAAGGCGAGGCCGAAAGGCGUAGUCGAUGGGAAACGGGUUAAUAUUCCCGUACUUGGUGUUACUGCGAAGGGGGGACGGAGAAGGCUAUGUUGGCCGGGCGACGGUUGUCCCGGUUUAAGCGUGUAGGUGUGUGUUCCAGGUAAAUCCGGUUCACUUUAACACUGAGGCGUGAUGACGAGGCACUACGGUGCUGAAGCAACAAAUGCCCUGCUUCCAGGAAAAGCCUCUAAGCAUCAGGUAACAUCAAAUCGUACCCCAAACCGACACAGGUGGUCAGGUAGAGAAUACCAAGGCGCUUGAGAGAACUCGGGUGAAGGAACUAGGCAAAAUGGUGCCGUAACUUCGGGAGAAGGCACGCUGACACGUAGGUGAAGUGAUUUACUCAUGGAGCUGAAGUCAGUCGAAGAUACCAGCUGGCUGCAACUGUUUAUUAAAAACACAGCACUGUGCAAACACGAAAGUGGACGUAUACGGUGUGACGCCUGCCCGGUGCCGGAAGGUUAAUUGAUGGGGUCAGCGCAAGCGAAGCUCCUGAUCGAAGCCCCGGUAAACGGCGGCCGUAACUAUAACGGUCCUAAGGUAGCGAAAUUCCUUGUCGGGUAAGUUCCGACCUGCACGAAUGGCGUAAUGAUGGCCAGGCUGUCUCCACCCGAGACUCAGUGAAAUUGAACUCGCUGUGAAGAUGCAGUGUACCCGCGGCAAGACGGAAAGACCCCGUGAACCUUUACUAUAGCUUGACACUGAACAUUGAGCCUUGAUGUGUAGGAUAGGUGGGAGGCUUUGAAGUGUGGACGCCAGUCUGCAUGGAGCCGACCUUGAAAUACCACCCUUUAAUGUUUGAUGUUCUAACGUGGACCCGUAAUCCGGGUUGCGGACAGUGUCUGGUGGGUAGUUUGACUGGGGCGGUCUCCUCCUAAAGAGUAACGGAGGAGCACGAAGGUUGGCUAAUCCUGGUCGGACAUCAGGAGGUUAGUGCAAUGGCAUAAGCCAGCUUGACUGCGAGCGUGACGGCGCGAGCAGGUGCGAAAGCAGGUCAUAGUGAUCCGGUGGUUCUGAAUGGAAGGGCCAUCGCUCAACGGAUAAAAGGUACUCCGGGGAUAACAGGCUGAUACCGCCCAAGAGUUCAUAUCGACGGCGGUGUUUGGCACCUCGAUGUCGGCUCAUCACAUCCUGGGGCUGAAGUAGGUCCCAAGGGUAUGGCUGUUCGCCAUUUAAAGUGGUACGCGAGCUGGGUUUAGAACGUCGUGAGACAGUUCGGUCCCUAUCUGCCGUGGGCGCUGGAGAACUGAGGGGGGCUGCUCCUAGUACGAGAGGACCGGAGUGGACGCAUCACUGGUGUUCGGGUUGUCAUGCCAAUGGCACUGCCCGGUAGCUAAAUGCGGAAGAGAUAAGUGCUGAAAGCAUCUAAGCACGAAACUUGCCCCGAGAUGAGUUCUCCCUGAGACUUUAGGUCUCCUGAAGGAACGUUGAAGACGACGACGUUGAUAGGCCGGGUGUGUAAGCGCAGCGAUGCGUUGAGCUAACCGGUACUAAUGAACCGUGAGGCUUAACCUUACAACGCCGAAG